GUAGGAAGCUGGAACUAAGUCACUGAAGAAGUAAACCAAUGAAAACCGAUUUGGAUUGUCUGAGAGAUGACACAAGUAAAAGGAGAAGAAUGCUGCUCAGCUGGGUUGGCGAAGCUCUUGGAUAUCAUCAGCACAUGUAUGAAGCACAGAGUCAUUCCGGUAGGCACAGAGUCGUUCCUCGAUGGACGUGAUGACCUGGCACCAAAACCGCUUAAUGUGUAUGAGGCUGUGUCUGCAUCGAGGGAAGAAACCAGCACUGAAAUGUUGAGUGACACAAAUGAAAGAAGAGUACUUCUGCUCUGCUGGGUCUGCGACACUAAUUAUCCGAGGAGUCCUCAAACAUCAGGAUG